AUUGAACGCUGGCGGCAGGCUUAACACAUGCAAGUCGAGCGGGGGAAGGUAGCUUGCUACCGGACCUAGCGGCGGACGGGUGAGUAAUGCUUAGGAAUCUGCCUAUUAGUGGGGGACAACAUCUCGAAAGGGAUGCUAAUACCGCAUACGUCCUACGGGAGAAAGCAGGGGAUCUUCGGACCUUGCGCUAAUAGAUGAGCCUAAGUCGGAUUAGCUAGUUGGUGGGGUAAAGGCCUACCAAGGCGACGAUCUGUAGCGGGUCUGAGAGGAUGAACCGCCACACUGGGACUGGGACACGGCCCAGACUCCUACGUGAAGCAUCAGUGGGGAAGAUUGGACAAUGGGGGGAACCCUGAUCCAGCCAUGCCGCGUGUGUGAAGAAGGCCUUAUGGUUGUAAAGCACUUUAAGCGAGGAGGAGGCUACUCUAGUUAAUACCCUGAAUGAGUGGACGUUACUCGCAGAAUAAGCACCGGCUAACUCUGUGCCAGCCGCCGCCGUAA
rnacentral:rRNA from 1 species